GACGAACGCUGGCGGCGUGCCUAAUACAUGCAAGUAGAACGCUGAAGAGAGGAGCUUGCUCUUCUUGGAUGAGUUGCGAACGGGUGAGUAACGCGUAGGUAACCUGCCUGGUAGCGGGGGAUAACUAUUGGAAACGAUAGCUAAUACCGCAUAAAAUGGAUUAUCGCAUGAUAAUCCAUUGAAAGGUGCAAAUGCAUCACUACCAGAUGGACCUGCGUUGUAUUAGCUAGUUGGUGGGGUAACGGCUCACCAAGGCGACGAUACAUAGCCGACCUGAGAGGGUGAUCGGCCACACUGGGACUGAGACACGGCCCAGACUCCUACGGGAGGCAGCAGUAGGGAAUCUUCGGCAAUGGACGGAAGUCUGACCGGGCAACGCCGCGUGAGUGAAGAAGGUUUUCGGAUCGUAAAGCUCUGUUGUAAGAGAAGAACGAGUGUGAGAGUGGAAAGUUCACACUGUGACGGUAUCUUACCAGAAAGGGACGGCUAACUACGUG
rnacentral:rRNA from 1 species